CCCUUAGAUGUUCUGGGCAGCACGCGCGCUACACUGACCAGUGCAACAAGCAUCCGUCCUUGGCCGACAGGCCCGGGCAAUCUUUGAACGCCGGUCGUGAUGGGGAUAGACUUUUGCAAUUUUUGGUCUUCAACGAGGAAUUCCUAGUAAACGCAAGUCAUCAACUUGCAUUGAUUACGUCCCUGCCCUUUGUACACACCGCCCGUCGCACCUACCGAUUGAAUGGUCCGGUGAAGCCUCCGGAUUGGCGCGCACCUCGGUGCCGCCGAGAAGUUGGCUAAACCUUACCAUUUAGAGGAAGGUGAAGUCGUAACA
rnacentral:rRNA from 1 species